rnacentral:rRNA from 1 species
AACGAACGCUGGCGGCAUGCCUAACACAUGCAAGUCGAACGAGACCUUCGGGUCUAGUGGCGCACGGGUGCGUAACGCCUGGGAACCUGCCCUUAGGUUCGGAAUAACUCCCCGAAAGGGGUGCUAAUACCGGAUAAUGUCUUCGGACCAAAGAUUUUUCGCCUUUGGAUGGGCCCGCGUUGGAUUAGCGAGUUGGUAGGGUAAAAGCCUACCAAGGCGACGAUCCAUAGCUGGUCUGAGAAGAUGAUCAGACACACUGGGACUGAGACACGGCCCAGACUCCUACGGGAGGCAGCAGUGGGGAAUAUUGUACACUGGGCGAAAGCCUGAUACAGCAAUGCCGCGUGAGUGAGGAAGGCCUUAGGGUUGUAAAGCUCUUUUACCCGGGAUGAUAAUGACAGUACCGGGAGAAUAAGCUCCGGCUAACUCCGUG